UGCUACGAAGGAUCGCCUCCGAGCGC
rnacentral:piRNA from 1 species